rnacentral:rRNA from 1 species
AUUGAACGCUGGCGGCAGGCCUAACACAUGCAAGUCGAACGGCAGCGGGGGAUAGCUUGCUAUCCUGCCGGCGAGUGGCGGACGGGUGAGUAAUGCAUGGGGAGCUGCCCAAUCGAGGGGGAUAACAACUGGAAACGGUUGCUAAUACCGCAUACGCCCUGCGGGGGAAAGGUGGGGACCUUCGGGCCUACCGCGAUUGGAUGCACCCAUGUGGGAUUAGCUGGUUGGUGAGGUAACGGCUCACCAAGGCGACGAUCUCUAGCUGGUCUGAGAGGAUGGACAGCCACACUGGAACUGGGGCACGGUCCAGACCGCGACGGGAGGCAGCAGUGGGGAAUAUUGCGCAAUGGGCGAAAGCCUGGCGCAGCAACGCCGCGUGGGGGAUGAAGGUUUUCGGAUUGUAAACCCCUUUCGACCGGAACGAAUCGCCUCUUGGUAAAUAAUCAGGAGGAUCGACGGUACCGGGAGAAGAAGCCACGGCUAACUCUGUGCCAGCCGCCGCGGUAAUAC